rnacentral:rRNA from 1 species
UACGUAGGGGGCAAGCGUUGUCCGGAAUCAUUGGGCGUAAAGCGCGUGUAGGCGGUUACGUCAGUCUGCUGUGAAAGUCGGAGGCUCAACCUUCGAAAGCCGGUGGAUACUGCGUGACUAGAGUACGGAAGAGGAGAGUGGAAUUCCUGGUGUAGCGGUGAAAUGCGCAGAUAUCAGGAGGAACACCGGUGGCGAAGGCGGGUCUCUGGGCCGAUACUGACGCUGAGGAGCGAAAGCGUGGGGAGCGAACAGG